rnacentral:rRNA from 1 species
AGAAACCAACAGGGAUUGCCCUAGUAACGGCGAGUGAAGCGGCAACAGCUCAAAUUUGAAAUCUGGCGCAAGCCCGAGUUGUAAUUUGUAGAGGAUGCUUCUGGGUAGCGGCCGGUCUAAGUUCCUUGGAACAGGACGUCAUAGAGGGUGAGAAUCCCGUAUGUGACUGGCUUGCACCCUCCACGUAGCUCCUUCGACGAGUCGAGUUGUUUGGGAAUGCAGCUCUAAAUGGGAGGUAAAUUUCUUCUAAAGCUAAAUACCGGCCAGAGACCGAUAGCGCACAAGUAGAGUGAUCGAAAGAUGAAAAGCACUUUGGAAAGAGAGUUAAAAAGCACGUGAAAUUGUUGAAAGGGAAGCGCCCGCAACCAGACUUUGCGGCAGUGUUCCGCCGGUCUUCUGACCGGUUUACUCGCUGUCGUGAGGCCAUCAUCGUCUGGGACCGCUGGAUAAGACCUUAGGAAUGUAGCUCCCUCGGGAGUGUUAUAGCCUCUGGUGAUGCAGCGCGCCUCGGGCGAGGUCCGCGCUUCGGCAAGGAUGAUGGCGUAAUGGUUGUCGGCGGCCCGUCUUGAAACACGGACCAAGGAGUCUAACAUCUAUGCGAGUGUUCGGGUGUCAAACCCCUACGCGUAAUGAAAGUGAACGGAGGUGGGAACUUUUUGUGCACCAUCGACCGAUCCUGAUGUCCUCGGAUGGAUUUGAGUAAGAGCAUAGCUGUUGGGACCCGAAAGAUGGUGAACUAUGCCUGAAUAGGGUGAAGCCAGAGGAAACUCUGGUGGAGGCUCGCAGCGGUUCUGACGUGCAAAUCGAUCGUCAAAUUUGGGUAUAGGGGCGAAAGACUAAUCGAACCAU